AUUUAGUUAGUAUAAUAUAUUACAUUUAAUUUCCAAUUAAAAGAUUUAGUCUUAAGCUAAAUA
rnacentral:tRNA from 1 species